rfam:Apaloderma vittatum contig88206, whole genome shotgun sequence.
GGGCCGGUCAGCUCAGUCGGUUAGAGCGUGGUGCUGAUAACACCAAGGUCGCGGGUUCGAUCCCCGUUCGGUCCC